rnacentral:tRNA from 1 species
GGGGGUGUAGCUCAGGGGUAGAGCAACGGCCUUUUAAGCCGCAGGUCGAAGGUUCGAUUCCUUCCACCCUCA